rnacentral:rRNA from 1 species
GAUGAACGCUGGCGGCGUGCCUAAUACAUGCAAGUCGAACGGAAGGACGAGAAGCUUGCUUCGCUCUUGAUUGCCGCAGGCGUGAGUAACACGUGUGGAAACUGCCCCUGACAGACUGGUAUCACCUCGAAAAUGCGGAUAAAACACCAUAUGAUCUUCUGAACCGCAGGGUUCAUAGGUGAAUUACGGUCUUUCGGGCACGGAUAGACGGUUCCGCGCUGCAUUAGCUAGUUGGUAAGGUACCGGCUUACCAAGGCAACGAGGCAUAGCCGACCUGAGAGGGUGAUAGACCACACGGGAACUGAGACAGGGACCAGAGGCCUACGGGAGGCAGCAGUAGGGAAUGUGCGGCAGUGGGCGGGAGCCUGACACAGUGAGACCGCGUGUGUGAGGAAGGUGUUGGGAGCGUGAAGCUGUGUUAUGGGGUGAGAACAGAUUUGGAAGUAGCUGUGGCGAUAGUGACGGUAACUAAUGAAGAAGCCACGGCUAACUACGUG